UACGGGGGGAGCAAGCGUUGUUCGGAUUUACUGGGCGUAAAGGGCGCGUAGGCGGUCAGCACAAGUCAGUUGUGAAAUCUCCGGGCUUAACUCGGAAAGGUCAACUGAUACUGUGCGACUAGAGUGCAGAAGGGGCAACUGGAAUUCUCGGUGUAGCGGUGAAAUGCAUAGAUAUCAGGAGGAACACCGGUGGCGAAGGCGGUGAUCUGGGCCAGUACUGACGCUGAGGAGCGAAAGCGUGGGGAGCGAACAGG
rnacentral:rRNA from 1 species